rnacentral:rRNA from 1 species
AUGGCAGCAAACACAGGAGCUUCAGGAUGGCUAAGGGGCAAGGUGAAGGCUGUGACGUCUGGAGACUGCCUUCUCAUCAUGGGGAGCACGAAGGCAGAGAUCCCGCCAGAGAAGUCCAUCACCCUGUCGUACCUUAUGGCCCCAAGGCUGGCUCGUCGUGGUGGAGUGGAUGAGCCAUUUGCUUGGGAAAGCAGGGAGUAUCUGAGGAAACUCUGCGUAGGAAAGGAGGUCACAUUUAGAGUGGAUUACACAGCUCCUAACAUCGGACGAGAAUUUGGCACUGUCUACCUUGGCGACAAGAACGUUGCCUACUUGGUGGUUGCUGCAGGAUGGGCAAGGGUGAAGGAGCAAGGCCCCAAGGGGGGUGAACCACUCCCAAAUGUCUCUGAGCUUCUAAGGUUGGAGGAAGUUGCUAAGCAACAGGGUUUAGGCCGUUGGAGCAAGGAACCUGGUGCUGCUGAAGAUUCGAUAAGAGAUCUUCCACCAUCAGCAAUUGGCGAACUAAGUGGUUUUGAUGCAAAGGGUUUUGCAGUUGCAAAUAAAGGCAAGAGUCUGGAAGCCAUUGUCGAACAAGUUCGCGAUGGCAGUACCAUUCGUGUUUACUUGCUUCCAAGUUUCCAAUUUGUCCAGAUAUAUGUUGCUGGAGUGCAGGCUCCGUCCAUGGGGAGACGACCACCGAAUCCUACUGUUGUUGCCGAACCAGAGGGCACUACUAACGGCACUACAAAUGGUGACGAUUCUGGGGAAGCUCCUGCACCACUGACAACAGCACAAAGGCUUGCUGCAUCGACAGCCUCUACUGAAGUUCCACCAGAUAGGUUUGGAAGAGAAGCUAAGCAUUUCACAGAGACUCGAGUUCUGAACAGAGAUGUGCGGAUUGUGGUGGAGGGGACAGACAGUUUCAGUAAUAUAAUUGGUUCGGUGUAUUACCCAGAUGGUGACACUGCUAAGGACUUGUCCCUUGAGCUUGUUGAAAAUGGUCUUGCGAAAUAUGUGGAGUGGAGUGCGAACAUGCUAGAUGUUGAAGUUAAAAUAAAGCUGAAGAAUGCUGAACUUCAGGCAAAAAAGGAACAGCUGAGAAUUUGGACUGGAUUUAAGCCACCAGUGACAAAUUCAAAGCCAAUCCAUGAUCAGAAAUUCACUGGAAAAGUGGUAGAAGUUGUGAGUGGAGAUUGUAUUAUUGUUGCUGAUGAUGCUGCUCCUUAUGGAAGUCCUUCAGCAGAACGUCGGGUUAAUCUUUCAAGUAUUAGAGCUCCUAAGCUCGGCAAUCCUCGCAGGGAGGACAACAAGCCCGACAAAUUUGCUCGUGAAUCUAAGGAAUUCUUGCGCACACGGUUGAUUGGCAAACAGGUGACUGUGGAAAUGGAAUAUUCUAGAAGGAUCAGCACCAUGGAUGGACAGAAUGCUGUGCCUGUAAUGAACUCGGCUGAUACCAGAGUUUUGGAUUAUGGUUCAGUUUUUCUAGGUUCGCCAUCACCGGCGGACGGAGAUGACACAUCUUCUGCUCCAAGCACAGGCACCCAGCCUAAAAUUAAUGUUGCUGAGCUUUUGCUCUCACGGGGCUUCGCUGAGAUAUCAAAACACCGUGACUACGAGGAAAGAUCACAUUAUUUUGAUGCUCUAUUAGCGGCUCACUCACGUGCUGAGAAAGCAAAGAAAGGAAUUCACUCUGACAAACUUCCUCCUGUGAUGCAUAUAACAGAUUUAACAAUGGUUAACUCUAAGAAGGCCAAAGAUUUCCUUCCCUUCCUGCAGCGGAAUAGAAGGCAUACUGCUGUUGUUGAAUAUGUUUUCAGUGGUCAUCGUUUCAAACUAACAAUUCCGAAGGAGACUUGCAGCAUUGCUUUUUCAUUGUCUGGUGUUAGGUGCCCUGGUAAAGAUGAGCCCUACUCGAGCGAAGCUAUUGCUUUGAUGAGGAGGAUGAUUCUACAGCGUGAUGUGGAGAUUGAGGUUGAAACAGUUGAUAGAACUGGAACAUUCAUAGGUUCCUUGUGGGAGUCUAAGACCAACGUGGGUUCUGUUCUUUUAGAGUCUGGCUUGGCCAAGCUUAGUUCAUUUGGCUUGGAUAGGAUUCCAGAUGCUCAUGUCCUCACAAGAGCUGAAAAGUUAGCAAAGCAGCAGAAACUGAAGAUAUGGGAGAACUACGUCGAGGGUGAAGAAGUUACUAAUGGGUCAGCCUCUGAAUCCAAACAAAAGGAAAUUCUCAAGGUUGUUGCUACCGAGGUUCUUGGUGGUGGAAAGUUCUAUGCCCAGACAGUAGGUGACCAGAGAGUAGCUUCCAUCCAACAACAGCUUGCAUCCUUGAAACUUAAGGAGGCACCAGUCAUUGGUGCUUUUAAUCCUGGGAAGGGAGAAAUAGUCCUUGCUCAGUUUAGCCUCGACAACUCUUGGAAUAGAGCCAUGAUUGUUAAUGGACCCCGAGGAGCUGUAGAGUCUGUAGAUGACAAAUUUGAAGUAUUCUACAUUGAUUUUGGUAACCAAGAAGUUGUUCCUUACAACCGCAUACGGCCUGCAGACCCAUCAGUAUCCUCCUCUCCUCCUCUUGCUCAGCUGUGCAGCCUUGCCUUCAUCAAAGUGCCUGGUCUGGAAGAUGAUAAUGGUCAGGAAGCAGCAGAGUAUCUUAGCGAAUGCUUGCUAAGCAGUUCAAAACAAUACCGGGCAAUGAUCGAAGAGCGCGACACUACUGGUGGAAAAGUGAAGGGACAAGGCACUGGACCUGUUCUCAUUGUGACUCUUGUUGAUCCAGAGACAGAAUCCAGCAUCAAUGCUGCCAUGCUUGAGGAAGGGCUUGCCCGACUUGAAAGGGGCAAGAGAUGGGACACCAAGGAGAGGAAGACGGCUCUCGAGAACCUGGAGCAGUUCCAGGAGAAGGCGAAGAAGGAGAGGCUGCGGCUGUGGCAGUAUGGAGACGUCGAAUCCGACGAGGAAGAUCAAGCCCCCGGCGGGAGGAGACCCCCGCCGCGUCGGUAG